CCGGCACCCGCCCACUUCGAACUCCUGGGAACUCGGAACGCACCACCCCGCCCCGCGCGGGAGGGGGAGAGGAAGCCGGACCCUCAGAGCAGGAGCAGGGACUCGCCCGCCCAACCCGCGCAAGUCGCGCUCCCGUCUGAUCCCAAAGUGCGAGCCGCGACUCCUCCCACCCCGCCCUCCUACACUCGCUCCACCCCUUUCAGAAAAAAAAAAAAAAAAAAACACCCAAAUCUCUUUUCUCCUCUAUGAUAACGGGGUUUCUCCCAAAGCAGGGCUUUAAGGAGGACAGGAAAAUCUGGAAUAGUUUGGUGAAAGGGUCAACGGAACCAGGCAAGGAGAGGAGCCCCAGAAGGUCUUUUCUCGCUCUCGUUUCUUUGGCCGCCCGGCUGUCCGCUGUCUUCGCCGGGCGACUGGCAACAGGAGGCCGUGAAUUUCCCUGAUCGGAGCGCCAGUAGUGCGGUGGUGUUUUUCUUUGGUUUUGUUUCAUUUGCAUGUUCGCACAUGUGAUUUUAUUUUCGUUGCCUGUUUUCCUAUGAACUGAACGCGGAACAGUGACCUCGGGAAAUAUUAAAUGAUCCUCCGCGACCUUCCUUCACCCCGGUGGCUGCGCACCCUGCCCUUUUCAUUUGCCCGCCACGCACUGCCCUGGUGGCUUAACCUUGGAGCCACGGCCACCGGCGGUUCUGCGGGGAUGGUGGACAGUUUCCACUAUCCCAAGGGGGGCUGGUGGCGGAGGACACACAUCCUCAAUCCUGACACCAUUAAUUUUAUGUUGGUCCUGCCAUCGCCACCAGAUAGCCACAUAUGUGCUCCAAUAAGAAUAAAGUCAAAAAAGGAUUUGGCCGCCUGUCGCAGCUAAACUAAUGAUUAUCUCUCGCCAAGAUCACGCUGUCCUCCGCCUUCAGUCACUAGGGCUCCCCGACCUCCACCCACUGACUUAACGUUUUACUCACCUCCAAGACUACACGCAGUUCCACCCACUGCCCACCGCUCUUUUUUUCUUUCUUAACUUCCGCCUCCCAUCCUGUCUUCCAGCGCUCGGUUUAAAGACCUCUUUUCCUCCACCCCUUUUCCUCCACCCCCUUUUCUCGCUCCCUCUCCAUUCCUGUUUGCCUC
ensembl:lncRNA